AGGUCUUUGGAUCUUUAUUGACCAUACUUCUGCCUCUCCAACCCCCAUUUUGCCUCUACUCCUUGUGACUUUGAGGAGGAGUUUGGCUGGCCGCCCAGAACAAGUUGAACAGCCUCCCAGGACCAGGAGCCACAAAGCAAAUACAGGCCAGCAGAGAAGCAGGCCCCUCUGUUCUGUAGAAUGCUAGCUCAUUCCAGAGGAAGAGGGGUGUGGGGUGUGUGUGGGGGCGGCGGGGCUAGGGGGAGUCUUGUGGUGGAGACUUGUUGUUCCACUGUGACUCAGCAUUCUGCUCCUCUGGAGGGGUUGGGCUUGGGCUCCAAAAGUGCAUUGUCAUGGAGGGGUAGGGCAGUCUGGAAGGCCUGGAGGGCUGUGGUUUUGUUGUGGAGAGGGAGGGUGGAGAGGAAAAGAGCUGGAGGGAAAGGAUGAGAGCUCCUGACUUCCCCAUAGCACACAGAAGCUUGACUGGGAAUAAAGAGGUCUUGGUCACUCUGCCAGGCUUUGGAUGAUAUUUUUGCCAGAAAGGCUCUUGCGGGGACGUCUCAGCAGAUAUUGGGUCUCUUUCCUUUCCAGUGAUUUGUCCCUCUGCAGUUACAGCUGCCAAAGAGUCCACAUCCACCAUUUGGUACAGUAGGGGCCGAGGGACACCAGGGUUUACAAAUCUCUGUGCUUUGUAGGGCAGAAGGCGAGACCCAAAGGUGGGAAUUCCUCGGGGGAAAUGUGGAGCAGAGUGUGCAAUGGAACGCCGGGGCAACCAUUAAACAUCACGCUCCAGUGAACACCCCGAACUUGGAUCUCCACCAAUGGAUUGGAGCUGAGGAACAACCCGGACAAAACCUCUGAACCAGACACAUUGUGGUCAUCUGUCAGCAGCGGUCAUUUUGUAAUUAAAUCUAGAUGUAGAACUCUCAGCUACGUCUCCAGCAUCAUGUCUGCCUGGAUGUUGCCAUGUUCUUCACAAUGAUGACAACAGAUUGAACCCCUGAAACUGUAAGCCAGCCCCGUUAAAUGCUUUCCUUUAUCAGAAUAGCUGUGGUCAUGGUCGUGGUGUUUUUUUCACAGCAACAAAACACUGAUUAAGACAAAGGCACAGACAGUAUUUUCAACAGAAUUAUAGAAGAAAUUUUCCCUACUGUAAAGGAGGAGAUGCCUUUCAAAGUACAGGAAGCAAGCACUAGUCAAAUAGACUGGACCAGAAAAGGAAGUUGUCUCAGCACAUAAUAGUCAGAAUACUAAGUGUGCAGAACAAAGAAGGAAUAGUAACAGCUACAAGGGAACAAGACCAAGUACAAGGACUACAUAAAAGUAGACAGAGCUAUUAGAAAUACACUUGACUUUUCAAUGGAGACUCUAAAAGCCAGGAGGGCCAGGACAGAUGUGCUGCAGACUCCAUGAGAUCACUGAGGCCAGCCCAGACUGAUAUACCUAGCAAUCACAAUAUUUGGAGGAAAUAAGAUAUUUCAUGAGAAAACCAAACUGAAGCAUUAGCUAUCUACAAAUCCAUCCCUACAGGAGGCACUAGGAGGAAAACUCCAACCCAGAGUGGUAACCACACCCAAAAGGCCCACAAAGAGUAAAUAAUCCCACACAAGCAAACCAAGAGGUUUGCUACACACACACACACACACACACACACACACACACACACACACACACACACAC
rnacentral:sRNA from 1 species